rnacentral:lncRNA from 1 species
AAAAGCUGCAGCAAAAGCAAAAGGGGAGUUUUGCUUGUAGAAACACCACAGGUCUCUUGUCUGCUCUCGGAAUGUUUUUGAGAUAAACCAGAUUUUAAAAAACAAAGGGAAAAAAAAAAACCACAGCUGCUUCUUUUGCUCUCUUCCUACUUUCUUGUGCUUUGCCCCUCCCCUUUCCCAGGUGAUUGGGUUUGGGUGCUGGGCGGGGCCGAAUGGUAUAUGAGCCCCAGGCAUGCUAUCAGAGAGCUCCUUCUGCUUGGGCUGCUCUUUGGGAGGACUAAAACCAGCUUGAUUGAAUGCUACAUAUGGCUUGGCAGCGUAGAUGCAGCAUUACCAAGAGACUGAGCAGGGUUGUAUCAGAGUCACCUCUUUCAUCUGCAAAGGGUGCUUUGUGCGGUCGUGGACAGGAAAGGGAAAUCCUCGUGUCGCGGAGCAGUGAGGGAAGAGUAAAAUUCCAGUUUGCCUUUUAGAGGUGCUAUAAGUGGGUAAAGAGAAGAGAUGGAAGCAUGUGCCAUGUGGGGCAGGCAAGCGGCUGAGGUACAGGAGGGGAUGAGAGUAUGUGAUUUUUUUCUGGGGAUGAAAUGGAAUUGAUUAUUUUGGUGUAUAAUCUGUUCUGCUCCUGGAUUUUUCUUUCAAUGUGAAUAAAAGUUUGAGCUAAUUCCA